rnacentral:rRNA from 1 species
AGUGAACGCUGGCGGUAGGCCUAACACAUGCAAGUCGAACGGCAGCACAGUAAGUUCUUGCUCUUAUGGGUGGCGAGUGGCGGGCGGGUGAGGAAUAUAACCGACUCUACUUUUUCGUGGGGGAUAACGUAGGGAAACUUACUCUAAUACCGCAUACGACCUACGGGUGAAAGCAGGGGAUCUUUUGAGCUUGCGCGGAUGAAUGAGCCGCUGUUGGAUUAGCUGGUUGGCGGGGUAAAGGCCCACCGAGGCGGCGAUCGGUAGCUGGUGUGGGAGAAUGGUCGGCCACACGGGAAGGGGGACACCGACCAGGCGCCUACGGGAGGCAGCAGUGGGGAAUAGUGGGCAGUGGGCGCGAGCCUGGUCCAGCGAGACCGCGUGGGUGGAGAAGGCCUUCGGGUUGUGAAGCCGUUUUGUUGGGAAAGAAAAGCAGCAGGUUAAUACGCCGCUGUUCUGACGGUACCCAAAGAAUAAGCACCGGCUAACUUCGUG